CUCCCUUAGGUUAGCGGCGGACGGGUGAGUAACACGUGGGUAACCUGCCUGUAAGACUGGGAUAACUCCGGGAAACCGGGGCUAAUACCGGAUGCUUGAUUGAACCGCAUGGUUCAAUUAUAAAAGGUGGCUUUUAGCUACCACUUACAGAUGGACCCGCGGCGCAUUAGCUAGUUGGUGAGGUAACGGCUCACCAAGGCGACGAUGCGUAGCCGACCUGAGAGGGUGAUCGGCCACACUGGGACUGAGACACGGCCCAGACUCCUACGGGAGGCAGCAGUAGGGAAUCUUCCGCAAUGGACGAAAGUCUGACGGAGCAACGCCGCGUGAGUGAUGAAGGUUUUCGGAUCGUAAAACUCUGUUGUUAGGGAAGAACAAGUACCGUUCGAACAGGGCGGUGCCUUGACGGUACCUAACCAGAAAGCCACGGCUAACUACGUGCCAGCAGCCGCGGUAAUACGUAGGUGGCAAGCGUUGUCCGGAAUUAUUGGGCGUAAAGCGCGCGCAGGCGGUUUCUUAAGUCUGAUGUGAAAGCCCCCGGCUCAACCGGGGAGGGUCAUUGGAAACUGGGGAACUUGAGUGCAGAAGAGGAGAGUGGAAUUCCACGUGUAGCGGUGAAAAUGCGUAGAGAUGU
rnacentral:rRNA from 1 species